rnacentral:rRNA from 1 species
GACGAACGCUGGCGGCGUGCUUAACACAUGCAAGUCGAACGGAAAGGCCCUGCUUUUGUGGGGUGCUCGAGUGGCGAACGGGUGAGUAACACGUGAGUAACCUACCCUUGACUUUGGGAUAACUUCAGGAAACUGGGGCUAAUACCGGAUAGGAGCUCCUGCUGCAUGGUGGGGGUUGGAAAGUUUCGGCGGUUGGGGAUGGACUCGCGGCUUAUCAGCUUGUUGGUGGGGUAGUGGCUUACCAAGGCUUUGACGGGUAGCCGGCCUGAGAGGGUGACCGGCCCCAUUGGGACUGAGAUACGGCCCAGACUCCUACGGGAGGCAGCAGUGGGGAAUAUUGCACAAUGGGCGGAAGCCUGAUGCAGCAACGCCGCGUGCGGGAUGACGGCCUUCGGGUUGUAAACCGCUUUCGCCUGUGACGAAGCGUGAGUGACGGUAAUGGGUAAAGAAGCACCGGCUAACUACGUGCCAGCAGCCGCGGUGAUACGUAGGGUGCGAGCGUUGUCCGGAUUUAUUGGGCGUAAAGGGCUCGUAGGUGGUUGAUCGCGUCGGAAGUGUAAUCUUGGGGCUUAACCCUGAGCGUGCUUUCGAUACGGGUUGACUUGAGGAAGGUAGGGGAGAAUGGAAUUCCUGGUGGAGCGGUGGAAUGCGCAGAUAUCAGGAGGAACACCAGUGGCGAAGGCGGUUCUCUGGGCCUUUCCUGACGCUGAGGAGCGAAAGCGUGGGGAGCGAACAGGCUUAGAUACCCUGUAGUCCACGCUGUAAACGGUGGGUACUAGGUGUGGGGUCCAUUCCACGGGUUCCGUGCCGUAGCUAACGCUUUAAGUACCCCGCCUGGGGAGUACGGCCGCAAGGCUAAAACUCAAAGGAAUUGACGGGGCCCCGCACAAGCGGCGGAGCAUGCGGACUAAUUCGAUGCAACGCGUAGAACCUUACCUGGGUUUGACAUGGAUCGGGAGUGCUCAGAGAUGGGUGUGCCUCUUUUGGGGUCGGUUCACAGGUGGUGCAUGGCUGUCGUCAGCUCGUGUCGUGAGAUGUUGGGUUAAGUCCCGCAACGAGCGCAACCCUUGUUCACUGUUGCCAGCACGUUAUGGUGGGGACUCAGUGGAGACCGCCGGGGUCAACUCGGAGGAAGGUGGGGAUGACGUCAAGUCAUCAUGCCCCUUAUGUCCAGGGCUUCACGCAUGCUACAAUGGCUGGUACAGAGAGUGGCGAGCCUGUGAGGGUGAGCGAAUCUCGGAAAGCCGGGUCUCAGUUCGGAUUGGGGUCUGCAACUCGACCUCAUGAAGUCGGAGUCGCUAGUAAUCGCAGAUCAGCAACGCUGCGGUGAAUACGUUCCCGGG